CCGGCUACGUAAACUCCUCAGCAAGGAGAACGCCAGGGACAGCGGAAGUGGCAGCGCGGGUCUCUGGAGAGUGUAGUCUUUGGGAUGGAGAGGUGGUGGGCGAGCAGGCUUCGCCAACGGCCGGGUGACUCUGGCAUCUGCACCUCUCAUGCAACGAAGCUUAGGAGCUCACGUUAAGAUGCCCAGACCAAAAGGUGCACAUGUUUCUUCUCCGAGGGCCAGUGAGAUCCCGCGGACCACGAGAGAGUCGCAGAAAUGCCCGAAGAUUCUAGAAAAUGUGGUCCUGGCGCCCCGCCGGUGUUACGGAGGCAGGUGGACAGACUGUGCGCGCUGACCUUCAGCGGUACGGGGAAGGAAAAGGGGCUGGAGGUUGAAUGAGUCAAUCACUUGUUCAUGCCUGUGUAACGAAGCCUCCAUAAAAAAACAAAAAGAUGGGAGUUUGGAGAGCUUCCAGGUUGAUGAAGACUCGGGGAGAGUGGUGCGCUCAGCAUGAAAGCUCUGUGACCCUUCCCCAUACCUUGCCCUAUGCAUCUCUUCCAUGUGGCUGUUCCUAUAUUAUCCUUCUAUAAUAAAAUGGUAAUCUGUAUAUGUGCUGCUGAAGGGAGCAAGGUGUGAGGUAGAGAUGUAACCAUUUUUUCCCCCGGAUGGAUAUUUCUCCAAAGAAGACAUACAGAUCACCAAAAGACACAGGAAAAGAUGCUCAUCAUCACUCAUCAUCAGGAA